CGUGCGGGCUGGGCGAGGACUCGGCCGCCGCCGCUGCUGGCCGAAGGACGGGGAGGCUGUAACAGAGCAUCCUUCCGUCUGCCUGGUCAGUGGCGGCGACCACCCCUCCUGUCUGUCCCCGUCACGCAGCCAGAGUGUGAAGCCCGCCUCUCAGGGCUGCUUCCGACCCUAGAAUCCGCUCCCGCCCGGACAGCGAGCCCCCUGCCCCUUACUCCGGACUGUGCGAGGCGGAGAGGGAGAGGAACCCUGCAGCCACCCUGGAUGCCAAAGGAGGAUGUUGGCCCUUCCUUCAGGAAACGUGGGGGAAGGGGAUUUGGAUGUCAGGGCGACGAUGUAACCAUGUGACGGUUACACUGUAGCGAUAGAUGCGAGUUAGCUUCCAAAGUGGCUUUUUUUUUUUUUUUUUAAUGUGGCUGAAAGCCUGGAGGUCUGUGUUCUGGCCCAGGCCGUUAGGUCCCUGCCCCUUCUGUUAAGUCCUAACACCUCGGCGGUCCGUCUUUCUCCCUCUCUGAAGUGUGUGCUUUGAGCGGAAGCGUGGCCUCUCAGAACAACAAGGCAGCACACGGCUGCUUUCACAUGGAACAAAUGAAAACAGUCUGCAUCUUCAAAGUGUGGGGGAGCGUGGAAACGGAAGUCUGCGAAGGAGCGUGAGGGCCGGAGGUUUGGAAGUGGCUAGGUCUUGAAGGAAGGGCACGAAGCCUUCAGGAGGGCUUGGCAAGGAAGGGGUGUUUCCUAGGCAGAGGGACCAAGAAACGCAGGCUACGGAGGCAUGUGAGUGUUCCCGGAGUAUUCGUUUUGAAUAACCGAAGUUUGGAGCUAGAGAGAGAGCUGUAGCAGCCGUCUGAAGAUCGUGCACAGAAGGUAGGCUUACCGAUGCUGAGCAAUGUUCCUGGAGGCAGAUGAGACCACCAUAAGGAAGGAAUAAGGAGAUUUAUUUGAGGUUCUUUUUUUUUCCUUGUGGGGAGGUUCAUUUUCAAGUUUUUGAAUAAGGAACUAGAAUAGUUAUUAAAAAUAAAUAAGACUAAAAACUGACAACUCUCCAGAGGGUGGGUGUGAAGGUGUCUAGAAGUAGCUAACACGGUGAUUUAUUUAUCUGGCCUUGGUUGUGUGGCGGCACUCGACAUAGGAAUACAGGUAAAACGAGCUGUGGUAGGGGACCGGUACGUUUUCUUUGGGUGCAUUCAGUUUGCAGUGUGAAACAGACUUGGAAGGAGAGACGCUCCGAUGAUACUUGAAUUGUCUAGAGCGACUUCAGUCCAUCUCAGUGGAAGAUAAGGACUACAGAACAAUUCAACCGUUCCUGCAUACUUCUCUGUAUCAGGCUCUACCCUAAGCUCCAGGGACCCUGCUCUCCCAGAAUUCCGAGUAAGUGGGAAAGGCAGUCAUUAAAAAUUGACAAACACGGGAUAAAUGUACUUGAUGAUAUCAGACUGUAGUUAGUUGUUCCUGUUUUUUUUUCUUAUUGCAGUUCAUCUCAUAACUCUGCUGACUACAUAGAAAUUCACAAUCUGUUAAAAUCACCCUGUGUUUCCCAGUAUUUACAUUUAAAACUAUGGGGCAACUUUCCUCAUUUAGCUGGAUUUUAAGUUGAUACCUUAAAUUGGGUAUCAAAAUAUGUAUGCUUCUAUAGAAAAUCUUAAGGAUAACUGUGACUCAGUCCCCAGCAACAAUUUUUGACUAAUUAAUAAUAAGUAUUGUGCUAUACAAAUCUUGCUUGAUGAGUCAAAGCUUAGCAAUGGUUCUUUUAUUUUUUUCUUACAUGUAUGCCUGUGCCUACAUAUUUGAAUACUGUUUAAAAACUGAAACUAUGCUCAGUGAGGAAUGUAAAUGAACAUUUCCCCAUUACACACUGAUCUUAAUGUUUUUAAGUCACUUACUGAAACCUUGCUACCUUUUAUAGGACUGCUUUGUUCUUAUUCCCUUGUUCAUUGGGUUACAAGGAUGUAGGGCACUUUCGUGGUUGCAAGUGCACCAGAGGCAGGAAACGUGUGCCAAUCACUCCUCUCUGCCUGUGUUCCUCCUUGGCUACCUGUGGAUUUGGACUCUCAACCUGUAUUCCUCAUGGUAUAUGAUUUGGGUGAGCAAUCCCCCUCUAGACCCUUUGAUUUAACUUUCUUCUCUCUCCAGUCACUUAGUUUCCCUUGUUUCAUUCACAACUUCACAUUCCUAAUUACUACUCCAUUCCCUAAGCACACUGACCAGCUUACCUACCUUGAUUUUAACACUGCAAUUAGUAAUUGGGGGUUCCAUCAAAGAAGCUAUAAUCUACUUUCCGUGCGUAGGCUGUCUAAUUGGUGGUUAGGUUAAUAGCCAUGUUUUAGAGGUUGUCUCUUUAAUUGAAAUUGGCAUAGCUGUAACAUGAAGAAAAAAAAAACUCUAGUUCUCUUCCAUCAAAUGCCAGUCUAUCCAUUCUGACUUCCCAGUUUCGAAAGUAUGUCCCACUUCAGGAAGCAUCAUGUUUGGAAGCCUAAAUUUUUUAAAAUGCACAAUUGGAGUUAUUUGUCUGACAAAAAAAAAAAAACCUUUUUCAAAUAUAGGAGAUCCUCCAAAAAUUCCAUUGCCCUUGAAAUUAAGUAUGAUUGUUUUACUGCCCUACAAGGAAGGUUUGUGUUGCUGAAAAUGCAGUGUGGUUAAUGUGCAUUUGGCUUUGAGUUAGUUUCACUACUGAGCUGUCUCUCCUGCCGUUUUGGAACUGUUCUUAAUGCUUUGACAUCAUUAAGUGUCAGCUAUGGAUUGUGCAUUGUGUGAAGUGUUGAGUGAAAUCUCUGGGGAACAGAGAUCUUGACUUAUAAUUGAAUUAUACCUUCAGCAGGUGACCAACUGAGCUCCAUCUACAUGAAAUACAAUACUGAUUUCUGCUACUAUGAGACUGCUAUUGAUAUAUAUUAAUAGAUAUUUUAUGACAUCAGCAUCUCUGCGUGGUGAUGGUUGAAGGUCCGAAGUUCCGUCAAGCGACCCAGGAGACAGGCAAAAUGCUGAGGGUUCUCGGGCUGGUAAAUCUUGCACAGCUUCUGCAGUACCUCAAGCAGCGGCUCCUGAAGCCUCUCCACCGCCUCCCUAUCCUUUAUGUAUUGCCUGUCUGUUUGAAGGUUUGAAAUAGCAUAGCAAGGUAAGACGUGAAAGACACCAAUUUGACAUAAUUAUGGCAAUGUCUAAGCUUUUAAAACUGCUUAUACAUGUUGUACGCUUAAAUGUGCAAAAUUUUCAAUGUAGUAAAGGUACAUGCACGUACGCACAUAUGCAUACAUACAUGCAUGUACAUACAAUGGACUUAUAUGUAAACCAAGAUAUGGAGCAUCAAAUGUUCCCAGAAGUUCCCCUAAACCCCCUUCCUAAUCAUUGUUCUUGAAGGAAAUCCACAUGACAGAUGUAAACAUUCUGUCUCUGGGGACAACCCCAGACUUCCCGGGCCAUGGGGAUCAACAUGUGUAAAUCUAAGAGGCUCUGCCAAGCAGAAUUUUUUUCCACUCACAAUUAUUAGUGUCCAAAGAGUAGCAACUAGCACCUGUCUAAUUAUCACAGAUGAAAAUAAUUUAAGGCUAGCAUAAUAUGUUUUUACAAACUAUGCACACACUAUUAUUUGCACCCAAAUUGUUAAAGUUAGUUUUGAAAAUACAUUUUAUACAGGGAGAUAUUUAUUUCUACAUUUUUUUAAAACAAGAAAAUUGGAAGCAUACAACUGUACAGACGAAGGGAUGAUUAAGUAUGUCUUUGUAGAGUUAUGAAAUGGAGCAUAAUGCAUACCUGUUACCAAAAGUCUUGUAAAGGAUGUGAUCUUUACUAUAUUACAAUGUGUAUGAUUUCUUUGCUGUCCCUGCUCAAGUGUCAGUCUCACCCCAGGGAGACUCUUCCCUAACAACUUAAUGAGCAUGCCAUCCAUUCUUUUCUCACCUCCUUCCCAAAUAUUCUCAUUGCUAUAAUAUUUGUGAGAUGAAUUCUCACUUUGUAGCCCAGGCUAGGCUCAAGUUUGUACUCCUCCUCCAUCAGCUCUCAGACCUGGAAAUUACAGGUUUGGGUCACUGUGUCUGUCUAUUAUUAUUAUGUAUUUUGUAGAAUUUUCCACUUGCUGGAAAAAAUGGGUCGUUUUCCUCAUUGUUUGAGAGCACUAGUCUCAUAGAAGUGGCAUCUAACUUACUCCUAAAGUCUAGAGCCAUAUUCACUGUGUAGGAGGUGUUCAAUAGGCAGUUACUGACACUGUGAUGGUUAUAGUCAAAAAUACUGCAAAGUGUAUGAAAUAUUAAUAAUAUUCUAUUUGAGUGGUAGGAUUAUGGACCAUUUUACUUCAUACGUCUCUGUGUUUUCUUUAAUUCACAUUGUUAUGACAUUGCCGAGAAGGAGGCGAGCAGUAUAAAAACCCAAAUGUAAUAGUAAAAUUACCUGGAGAGAGGAUGACGAUGCCCGUCAGCAGAGCGUACUCUUCCUGAGUCAUUUUCAGCUCCCCAAUACUUUUAUAAAAACUGAACAUCGGAGUUAUGUACUCAGCAGAGAUGCCUGUGUGGGAGUCGAAAAACACAGUUACAACACAAGGCUUUUAAUUUUAGUUAGUACUUGUGCGGUGAGUGUGUGUGUGUGUGUGUGUGGUGAGUGUGUGUGUGUGGUAAGUGUGUGUGUGGUGAGUGAGUGUGUGUGUGUGAGUGGUGAGUGUGUGUGAGUGUGGGGGGUGCGCGUGCGUGCACAUGCACACACGUUUGCAAGGUGAGGUCAGGGCACGUCUUUGUGGAGCUGGUCCUCUCCUUCCCUUGGAUUCUAGUGACAAAAUGCAUGUCACCAGGCUUUGUAGCAAGCACCUUCACCUUCAGAGUCAUCUCACCAACCCAACGAAAAUCAUGAGUAGCUUCAAAGUGCAAAGCUGGAAACACACACAACCACAUUUACCCCCAAGCCACACACAUUCAUGCAAUGAUAGUCCAUUAUACAUCUCAGCCAAAGACGGAGCGUGGAAGGGAGAUCAACGAGCAAAACCUUCAAGGACAGCCUCAUGACUGAUGCACUUGUCUUUGAAUUCAGUACUGUCUUUGGCCAAGUGUGCAACAAUAAAUGAUAAUGCUCUUGGACUAGAAAUAAUUCCUAGAAUGGCACCAUUUUCUCAGACAGAGAGCAAUCUUAACAAUGAACACAGCAGAGUUGUGUUUCAAUUCAGACGAAUAAGCAAUUACACUGAAUAAGUUGAUCAGAGUUGAAUGGGUUUGGACCUACCUGACAAACCAUUUCCUACCAUGCACUAAUCAGUAUGGGGCCACUCUUUACAAACUCAGGACAUCAAAUACGACGAAUACCAGGUGGGGACCAAGCCUCCCAACUUUCUCCAAACCCAGUCCCUUCCUGAUGUCUCCGUUCUCGGUAAUGACUGUUCUUGCCACACACGUGUCUGCGCUGGCAGCUGAGAUUUCUGGUGUGUGACCUGCGAUCUAACCACUCCUCCUCCCUCCCUGUUGCCCUGCCUCUAGUUUCAACCACCAUCUCUCAUUAUCUGGAGCACAAGGAUCGCUUCCUCAUUCCUGCCUUGUUUACUCUUCUGCAAUCCACAUACCAGAGUAAUCCCCUCUGAACUUCAAAUCACACAUGUUCUCCUCACUUCUUACACAGCUUCAAAGCCUUCCUAUGGCUCCUGCAGUUCGUGUACCUUUCUUUUAAAUGGGACCUCUGCCCCUCUGGAGUCUGUAUUCACCGAAUCCUCGCUGUGCACUGCGCUCUGGGAGCCACAGAAUUCUGGCUGAACCAAAUGAGGAUACAGUUGGAUUCCCGAUGCUCAAGAUUUCAACUCUCAACCGAUGGUACACCUUAUAGGAAGUCAGUUUGUCAGCAAGCCAAAUCCUCACCUUAAGAAGAGUUUGAAGUCUCUUCAGAACUGAGCCUUGGGCCUUUCCCAGCCACUCAACACAGUGCAAUCCUCUCCCCACAACCCUGCACCUUUGUUCCGACUCCAGUGGGUUCUCUCAACAGCAGAGUCUUUGUUUAGCAAGAGGGUGAUUACAUCGCAUGGAAGAGGGCCCUUCCCCAGCUGCUGCAGAACCGAGUUGAAUGCCCAACACCAAACAAGAUAGAGCUUCGAAGGACUGGGGCUUGAGCCUGGGAAUGCUGCUCACUGGUUCCAGCACAGGGUUAGAGGUUGUGACUUUGAAAUCUGAGUCCCUGAUAUGGCCUUGAACACAUUAAAACUUUUGAAGCCACAGUUUUGUUAUCUGUGAGGUGUGGAUUGCACAAUGAUAGAUUACAUAAGAUAGACCUGCCUCACAGUAAGACCUGAGUGGUGAGGCAGCCCUGUACCACCAAUUAACUGGGAGGCUGAGGGAGAAAGAGCUGCCUACGCUACAGAGACAGCAACUACGAGACCUGCAAUCCACAGAGACCCACAGUGGUCACAGCGCAGAGUGACUGUGGUGAGCCCAGGCAAGGGCGGUACAUCUGCAACACUACCCUACACCUAAGGCUCAGAGAAGUCACAGGAGCCAGAGGACCAGAGCACCAGCUUGUGACAUGUCUUCUAGAUACAGCAGGGCGCUGCCCCCAUGAAAUCUCAACAACAUGGCUGCCUGCAUGAGAUCCCAUAGAAACCACACCAAUGAACACGCCAGCACAGACGUGGAUGAAGAGUUGUGGCUUCAAAACUUAGCACUCUUAGCUGUAAGUGGAGGUGCAGGCCUCUAAUCCUAGCACUUGAGAGAUUGAGGUAGGAAGAUGCUGAGGCCAGUGGGCAGCCCGAGGCACACAGCACCCUGUAGAAAAUCAAGAAAGGCUGUUUUCACGCCUCUUCCAUGUUCAGCGUCCGUACCCAUCAGAAGAAAUCAGAUCUGCAUGUCCGGCAGGAAGUUUCUUAUUAAAAAUCUCUGCAGAGCGGAGGAACAUGGCUUCAACUGCAGACCCUUUCAGCAAUGCGAUCUGAUCCUCAUGGUCCAAUGUCUGAAACCCUAAGGAGAUAAUCAAAC